UACGUAGGGGGCUAGCGUUGUCCGGAAUCAUUGGGCGUAAAGCGCGUGUAGGCGGUUCGGUAAGUCCGCUGUGAAAGUCGGGGGCUCAACCCUCGGAUGCCGGUGGAUACUGUCGAGCUUGAGUACGGAAGAGGCGAGUGGAAUUCCUGGUGUAGCGGUGAAAUGCGCAGAUAUCAGGAGGAACACCGGUGGCGAAGGCGGCAUCCUGGACCAACACUGACACUGAUGAGCGAAAGCCAGGGGAGCAAACGGG
rnacentral:rRNA from 1 species